AAACUAUCGGUCUACCCAAAUUCAACAAAGUCCGAGUCAUUGAGCUUCAGAUCAUCAUUGACGACCUCCGAAAGCGGAAACACUUCUCCCAAGCCCUCCAGGUUGCAGAUUUCAAAGUAGAUGAAUCAGAAGGGGAUAUGCAUAUUUUGCGCCAGUUGAGUAUGCCAUGCAGCUGGAUUUGAUUGGGAAGGAAGAAUUUUGCACAAAUUGGUGUGAAAUAAAGCCAGUUUGAGUCUGUGGGUCGAAUCGUAUUGGACAUUGUUGCAUCAUGGAGCAUGUGAUUGCUGGGAAGUUUAAGUUGGGGAGGAAGAUUGGGAGUGGGUCUCUGGGAGAACUUUAUUUAGGUGUAAAUGUACACAGUGGGGAGGAGGUGGCUGUUAAGCUGGUAUGUGAUCGAUCCGUAGUGUUCAUUUAUAACAAAUUCACCAUUUGAAUUGGGUUGGUUUGUGGGUGUGGAUUUUCAAGCUAAAAGAUUUAUGUGGACCACUUUAUCUUUUUUUUCUUUGGAAAAAUAAAAUUUGAAUGUCGUAGUUGAAUCGUAUUACUCAUCAAGUUUCAGGGUAUUUUGUGUUUGAAGGAUUCAAAACUGCUGUAAGCUAAAUGGGUGUGAAACAAGAUGGUGGCACUAUUGACACUGUGCCUGCAAUGGAACAUGUACACCUGAAACUCAACUGAUUACGGAAAUCAACUGGUUUAUUUUUUUUGUAGCAGUCCCACAAGAUCUGCUUGCAGUCAUGAUUCUACUCGAUCUCAUUGAAAACAUGUUUUUUAGAUGUUUUGUUAGGUGGAGAUUUUCAAGUUUUGAUAUUUUGGUAUUUUAGUUAUGAUAGCACUGGAUUAAGCUCUCACCUUUUGUACAUUGCACUAUUUAACUCACCAACAUAAGAGCAGAACUUUAGGCUCU